GCCACCUUAGCUCAGUUGGUAGAGCGGCUCACUCGUAAUGAGCAGGUCAAGAGUUCGAUUCUCUUAGGUGGCU
rnacentral:tRNA from 1 species